rnacentral:lncRNA from 1 species
UGGAGGAGGAUGUCUCCUGUGCGGAGGAGGUGAGUGUAUCCUCGGCGGCGGCGGCGAUGGAUGAGGAGGGGGCGGAGAUAGGGAGGGUGGUGGAGGCGGUGGUGAUGAAGGUGGUGGAGGCGGUGGAGAUGAAGGUGGUGGAGGCGGUGGAGAUGAAGUUGGUGGAGGCGGUGGAGAUGAAGGUGGUGGAGGCGGUGAAUUAGGAGGGGGCGGAGGUGGACUGGGAGGUGGAGGAGGUGGAGAGGGGAAUGGUGGCGGAGGCGGAGAUGAAAUAUUAAAUGAGGGAGGUGGCGGCGGACUAGAAGGAGGAGGGG